rnacentral:rRNA from 1 species
AGCGAACGCUGGCGGCAGGCUUAACACAUGCAAGUCGAGCGGGCAACUUCGGUGUCAGCGGCAGACGGGUGAGUAACGACGUGGGAACGUGCCCUUCGGUUCGGAACUAACUCAGGGGAAACUUGAGCUAAAUACCGGAUACGCCCUUUUGGGGGAAAGGUUUACUGCCGAAGGAUCGGCCCGCGUCUGAUUAGCUAGUUGGUGGGGUAAUGGCCUACCAAGGCGACGAUCAGUAGCUGGUCUGAGAGGAUGAUCAGCCACACUGGGACUGAGACACGGCCCAGACUCCUACGGGAGGC